rnacentral:rRNA from 1 species
UACGUAGGGUGCGAGCGUUAAUCGGAAUUACUGGGCGUAAAGGGUGCGUAGGCGGAAAUGUAAGUUAGAUGUGAAAUUCCUGAGCUUAACUUAGGGAUAGCAUUUAAGACUGCAUAUCUAGAGUUUGUGAGAGGGGGGUAGAAUUCCAAGUGUAGCAGUGAAAUGCGUAGAGAUUUGGAGGAAUACCGAUGGCGAAGGCAGCCCCCUGGCAUAGAACUGACGCUGAGGCACGAAAGCGUGGGUAGCAAACAGG